AUAUAAGAAGCAAAAUCAUUGCACUUAGUUUCGACCUAAACCCUUGAUAUUAACUAUCCUUAUAUA
rnacentral:tRNA from 1 species